rnacentral:misc_RNA from 1 species
UAAAAGGGGUCCAGGGCUAAAUACAGAGUAAGUUCUGAUUGGAACUUGACUUAUUAGAUGUCUAGUUCAGACAUUGAUGCUUAUAUAUUUUAUUUUAAAGUGAAUUGUACUAAUGGUAUUUGCCCCUCAAUAUUAAGAGAUAUAUUGAUAUAUUAAAUUUGUUUUUGAAAUCUUAGGUUUUGUUGUGGGAUAUAUUAAACAUGUUAUAACCUCAUUACAAGCGUGGCAGAAGAAUAAAAAUAUCAAUGAUGGCAUGCAAUAAAUGUGCUUGAAGCAAUGGUGCAUGAAGUCUCUUUAGGGGGUUUUUAGAGCAUAUCACAAUAGAUGCUUUCAUGGAAAAAAUGGCAUAAAGAAGUAUCAAUAUAACCUGACAGCACAUAUGCAAUACUUCCUUAUUGUGUCCAAACUAUAAAAGAGUCACCUUGAUGUAGUGUCCACAAGACAGGUCAGAUGUAAUACCAGUACAAGCCUGGCAGGUCAGAUGUUUUACUACUACAAGGCUGAUAGGCAUUGUUUUCAGUAAUUAAUAGGCAUUAAAUAAAAACUAACAUCAAAGCUGAGGAAAAAGGACACACAAGUGAACAUGCAUUUGUAGGUUUAAUUACAAAUAAGUGCUUUAAAAACUUUGGAACUUGAGGUGAGCAUGAAAUGGAAAAGAUGACAAUAUUGCGUGCAGUUCUUCUGAUAAUAAUCAGAUUGGCAGUUCAGGUCUUCAAUUUGGAAGCAAAAAAUGUGUCCAUAUCUCCAAUGGACCCAGUAGUGCUUGUUGGGUCCAACCUUACCAUAACAUGUGAACUGGCCCCGAGGAUGAUCCCAAGUUACAAUGCCAGUGAAGUGGGUCUGUGCUGUGACUGUGACAUACCUGAGAAAAGACUGGUCAUCAGGGCCAGGGAUAGGAACCCCGCUGUGUCCAUAGGGGACACACAGGUCAACUUUACUUUGUACAGCUUACCUGAUAUGUCUGAAGAUAAGGCUGGCAAAGUGUGUCUCUGUUUCCUUGGAAUAUCGCAGUCAAGUAGGACAACUAUAUUCACAGGGUGUGAGUAAAGUUCGGAAUCUGGUUGAAAGGUUCCUGAUUUCAUUCUUUAAAAAUUUUACAUAGAUAUAUGUAAUAUGUUUGAAGUAAACAUGUAGCUAGAAUAUAUUAUGGCAUAAACAACAACAACAACAAAAUUUCAAACAUGCCAUGUAUAAUACGUACCCUUGCUAACCUGUCAAGAAUAACAUCA